GGCACGGUGGUCUAGCGGUUAGAACGCUGGCCUUGUUAAUCCUGGGGUCUCGGGUUCGAUUCCCGGCGGUGCCC
rnacentral:tRNA from 1 species